rnacentral:rRNA from 1 species
AUUGAACGCUGGCGGCAGGCCUAACACAUGCAAGUCGAGCGGAUGAAGGGAGCUUGCUCCUGGAUUCAGCGGCGGACGGGUGAGUAAUGCCUAGGAAUCUGCCUGGUAGUGGGGGAUAACGUCCGGAAACGGGCGCUAAUACCGCAUACGUCCUGAGGGAGAAAGGGGGGGAUCUUCGGACCUCACGCUAUCAGAUGAGCCUAGGUCGGAUUAGCUAGUUGGUGGGGUAAAGGCCUACCAAGGCGACGAUCCGUAACUGGUCUGAGAGGAUGAUCAGUCACACUGGAACUGAGACACGGUCCAGACUCCUACGGGAGGCAGCAGUAGGGAAUAUUGGACAAUGGGCGAAAGCCUGACCCAGCCAUGCCGCGUGUGUGAAGAAGGUCUUCGGAUUGUAAAGCACUUUAAGUUGGGAGGAAGGGCAGUAAGUUAAUACCUUGCUGUUUUGACGUUACCAACAGAAAAAGCACCGGCUAACUUCGUG